GGCAGGUCGGGAGCCAGGUCCGCCAGUUCGUCGGCGUCCAUGUUGCCGGUGGCUGCCACCAGGUCCUGGCGGUCCAUCGCUUCGAUCAGCGAUUCCCGCACCCA
rnacentral:tRNA from 1 species